UGGACAAAUAUGGACAUUACUAGGUGAAUUUUUACAUGUAAAUAAUAAGGGUAAAGUUGGUAUAUGGCUUAUAAUGUGUAAUAAAAUAAAAUAAACAUAAAAUGGCCAUGCAUUUUCACCUUGUUCAGUCGAAAAUUAGAGAAAGAAGAAGCCAUUGAAGCAUUUUGAUGUUCGGCUAGUGCAUGUCUUAAUAUGUGAGCUUAUUUUGUUCGG
rnacentral:lncRNA from 1 species